CCUACGGGAGGCAGCAGUCGAGAAUCAUUCACAAUGGGGGAAACCCUGAUGGUGCGACGCCGCGUGGGGGAAUGAAGGUCUUCGGAUUGUAAACCCCUGUCAUGUGGGAGCAAAUUAAAAAGAUAGUACCACAAGAGGAAGAGACGGCUAACUCUGUGCCAGCAGCCGCGGUAAUACAGAGGUCUCAAGCGUUGUUCGGAAUCACUGGGCGUAAAGCGUUCGUAGGCUGUUUCGUAAGUCGUGUGUGAAAGGCGCGGACUAAACCGGCGGACGGCACAUGAUACUGCGAGACUAGAGUAAUGGAGGGGGAACCGGAAUUCUCGGUGUAGCAGUGAAAUGCGUAGAUAUCGAGAGGAACACUUGUGGCGAAGGCGGGUUCCUGGACAUUAACUGACGCUGAGGCACGAAGGCCAGGGGAGCGAAAGGGAUUAGAUACCCUGUAGUC
rnacentral:rRNA from 1 species